rnacentral:sRNA from 1 species
AAACCUAAGGACCCACAGCAGUGGCUCUAGCUACUCGUUUAUGGCUAAAACCAGCUGCCUUGAAAAAAAAUACACUGAUGGUCAGGGCUGAUUCGGCUGAUCUGGCUGGCUAGCUGGGUGUCCCAUCCUCCCUUACCACUCUAUGUGCGUCCCUUCUGAAGCUGUGUGCUCCGUUGAAAAGGAUGAUUUUUUUUGCCUCUAGGGUUUUGCUGGGGCUUGGUGCCUGCACUAUGAAUCCACUGCUCCUGAUGGCCUUUUUUUUUUUUUUUAAUUAGACAGGACAGAGAGAAAUUGGGAGGGGAAGGGGAGAUAGACAGGGAGAGAGAAAGACACCUGAAGACCAGCUUCACUGCUUGU